UGAAAACUAAAUGUUUAUUGAGCAGAAACAGUACUCAGAACAGCGUUAUCCUUUAAUCAAAAAAUAUCUCUGGAACAGUAGCAAGGUCAAUGGUCAGAGGUCAGCACCAACCCUUCAAAAAACAGAACAAAACAAACGUAAAGAGUAGAAAGCAACAGCCAGCAGGGUUCGCUCUGCUCUGAUCACAUCUCAGUCUAUUCACUGAUGUCUGGAGUCACCUGGUCCUCACCUAGAAAUCAGUCUGUUAACUGGUACCAGUCUGGAAGAGGAGGGGGGCUAUAGGGGUCUGUAGUAGAGGAGGGGGGUUAUAGGGGUCUGUAGUAGAGGGGGGGUCUGUAGUAGAGGAGGGGGGUUAUAGGGGUCUGUAGUAGAGGAGGGGGGGUAGAGGGGGGGGGUUAUAGGGGUCUGUAGUAGAGGAGGGGGGUUAUAGGGGUCUGUAGUAGAGGAGGGGGGUUAUAGGGGUCUGUAGUAGAGGAGGGGGGGUUAUAGGGUCUGUAGUAGAGGAGGGGGGUUAUAGGGGUCUGUAGUAGAGGAGGGGGGUUAUAGGGGUCUGUAGUAGAGGGGGGGUCUGUAGUAGAGGAGGGGGGGUUAUAGGGGUCUGUAGUAGAGGAGGGGGCUUAUAGGGGUCUGUAGUAGAGGAGGGGGGGUUAUAGGGGUCUGUAGUAGAGGAGGGGGGUUAUAGGGGUCUGUAGUAGAGGAGGGGGUCUGUAGUAGAGGAGGGGGGUUAUAGGGGUCUGUAGUAGAGGAGGGGGUUAUAGGGGUCUGUAGUAGAGGAGGGGGGGUUAUAGGGGUCUGUAGUAGAGGAGGGGGGGUUAUAGGGGUCUGUAGUAGAGGAGGGGGUUAUAGGGGUCUGUAGUAGAGGAGGGGGGUUAUAGGGGUCUGUAGUAGAGGAGGGGGGGUUAUAGGGGUCUGUAGUAGAGGAGGGGGUUAUAGGGGUCUGUAGUAGAGGAGGGGGGUUAUAGGGUCUGUAGUAGAGGAGGGGGGGUUAUAGGGGUCUGUAGUAGAGGAGGG
rnacentral:lncRNA from 1 species